UACGGGGGGGGCAAGCGUUGUUCGGAAUUACUGGGCGUAAAGGGCUCGUAGGUGGCCAACUAAGUCAGACGUGAAAUCCCUCAGCUUAACUGGGGAACUGCGUGUGAUACUGGAUGGCUUGGAUUUGGGAGAGGGAUGCGGAAUUCCAGGUGUAGCGGUGAAAUGCGUAGAUAUCUGGAGGAACACCGGUGGCGAAGGCGGCAUCCUGGACCGACACUGACGCUGAGGCGCGAAAGCUAGGGUAGCAAACGGG
rnacentral:rRNA from 1 species